UACGUAGGGGGCAAGCGUUGUCCGGAAUCAUUGGGCGUAAAGAGCGUGUAGGCGGUUCGGUAAGUCGGCUGUGAAAGUCCAGGGCUCAACCCUGGGAUGCCGGUCGAUACUGCCGGACUAGAGUUCGGAAGAGGCGAGUGAAUUCCCGGUGUAGCGGUGAAAUGCGCAGAUAUCGGGAGGAACACCUAUGGCGAAGGCAGCUCGCUGGGACGUUACUGACGCUGAGACGCGAAAGCGUGGGGAGCAAACAGG
rnacentral:rRNA from 1 species